UGACCUUUGACCUCGAAUAACUUUGUAGC
rnacentral:sRNA from 1 species